CACAAGCAAAAUGACUUCACUCCACUUCGCAAUAUUCUGUGUUUUCUUCGGACCCAGCAGCUGUCAAAUUAAUUGCAUCCCAGAAACGGUUGAUGAGACAAAGUUUUCAGUCAACGUAACGGAGCACAUUAGUGUGGAGUCUAUCGACUGCAUCGUAAUCCCACACAAGGUGACAUUUCCACGAGACAAAGUGGUAACCCUGUACAAAAAGAUGUUAUUUCAGGGCGAUCCAUCAAAUGUCGUUGAUAAAAAAAGUUGUCUACGAUUCUGACAAAGAAGAUUCAUUCAGGAUAAAAAAUCUUCCAUGUGGAGAAUAUGAUUAUGGCUUUAAACUGGAAUGGGGGUGUAAUCAAACUUACACUUUCCCAAAGAGAGUCCACGUCUCUGUUUUACCAUUAGCAACUAAGCCGACUGUCUUGGUUCCUCUUUUGACGGAGGAACGCUCUGAGCUGAUCUGCAGCGUUCCCCAGCCGUGCUCACAAGGACUCCGAGUUUACUGGAAAUGGACGAAGGCCGACGGACAAUCUGCGGUACUCAGCGACUAUCGCUACGGGAAACUUGAUCAGUGGUUCUUUGGAUACAAAGACACUUUGCGCAUUAAUCCCACAGCACAUCAUCACAACACCAACAUCACAUGUGUGGCCGAGUAUGACAACGACCUCACGGAAGCAACGGUCACUUUGAACGUGAAAUUUAAACCUAAGAUCUCGAAUGACUCCCACUGCUUGGUUAAAGGCGAGCUGCUGGUCUGCGUGUGCAUCAGUUGGGGCAAUCCUCUGCCGCCGAUCUCUUGGCCUUUGGAAAACCUCACGGCUUUCUCGGUGACUAGCUUGAGGAUUGCUCAGACAGUACGAAGCACUUUCACAGUGCCUGCGUCGGAAUACCAUAACGCCACUGUAAAAUGCACCAGCAGCAAUGAACGCGGUCUGGCUGAAACCUUAAUUGUAAUUCAUAACUCUGAAGAGAGAGCGGAGCCAAACAGCCAAACUGAUUCCUCCAGCUGUUCCAGGCAGAAGGAAGGGGAUGGAUUUAGCUCUUCCCUGGAUAGCUGGGCUGUGUUUCUCUCUCAACCUGGCCUUCAUUACCGCCUUGAUUAUCCACAUUUGUCAAAGAAGGAUUAAUAAGCAGAAGGAACAGAGCAAAGAGAGCAACACUUACAUGUCUCUGAAAAAGGCAGACGUUGAGGAAGAAUACAGCAUCAUUUCCGCAAAACCCAAACGAAACCCGCAAGUGUGAAGCGCUGCCCUGUUUGCUACCGAGAUAAGAAAAUGCAAAACAAAAAUGUACAGCAGAUAAAUAUUCUAUGAAUAGUUACAGAGCCUUUCAGUAAUAGUCACAUUUAUGCAAUUUACAUGUUACAACCAGGCUUCUGCGUGUUCUACGAGGAUUGUAUGUGAUAGACCACAAAAAAUUAAAUAAAAAGGAAGUGACACAUGUGUAAUAAAUUCAAAUCUACAAAGUGUGAUGCGCAUUUUUAUUCAGUUCCUUUUACUCUGAUGCUCCUAAAUGAAAUCCUGUCAAACAAACAGUCUUCAAGAGAUCAAGAGAUGUUUCAAGUCAGACUUUUUGUAAUUUCUUUGGAGCACCAGGCCUGACUCCAUGGCAGCAGCACAGGUUUGUUGGAGAGCAUUAGGGAACAAACCAAGGAACACAGCAGAUGGGUCAGAGAAAAAGUUGCGUAGAAGUUUAAAGCAGGGUUGGGUUACCAGGAUCAGAAUUUAUUGGUUAAAUAUUGUGUGUACAAAUUUGACUUCUGUUACAAGAGCAGACAGCUUACAAAGUAUAAAUAUAUAAACUCCACAGAAAAUAAAGAAUAAAAACAAUGCAUAUUAUCACCUUAAUAGAAAGAUGUUCAAUACAUCGUCUAAUCUUACUAAACAGCUGCAAACAUAUCAAGACAUGCAACUGGAAAGCUGUUGUUGGAAUAUUAACUGAAUAUUAAUAUUCCUUUUUGCACUCUGCCACAUCGAGUGGAAGAGCAAAACUUCACAGAACAGCGCACUUACAAAUCAGAGCCACUUUCAGUCUGUCAAAGUUGCAUUUAUGAGUUUGCGGAGCAGUUAAAUAAAUCAAAAGCUAUACAUUUGUGCUGGCAGAUAAGCUGGUAGCUUGCCUCUCAAAAACCAUGAAAACUGUGAGCGAGUGGAAAGGACGGCGCAGCGCCCUGAACACACCACAAUCUACCUGCCCUCCACUCUCCACCUGCAGGUGUCUUGUUGCCGUUUUGGCUCUCAACAGUCUCCAUACAUUAGGAGUGCUUUUGCAAGGCAAUGUAAAUGAGUUUCUUCUAAAUAAUAUUAGCACCCAUUUUUGCGUGCACCUCUAGUUUUGGCAGAUUUAGUCAAGUCAGAAAAUGGUUAAGAAAAGCGCCCAAACUUAAUUCAAAUGUCAAAAUAUAACAAUCUCCAUUUAGAAAAAUGUCAACUUUUAAACUGGAAGGAAACACUCAGUGGACACUGAUUGGUAUUAAACUCGUUCGCACCCAUUGAGCUCGCUGCUGCUGUACAUUCACAUAAAUACUGACUCAGCUUAUUGGUUUAGUUGAGUAAUUUACUAAUGAAUUUUGCAUAAAAUAUAUCAUGUGCGGACAUUUUCUCUCUCAACUGUGAAAAGAAAUAUGCUUGAGAAUAAGAUACUGUGUCCUUACAAUGAAUUUAAUGCAACAGGUCAAUUGAUAGAGUGAAUUAUGGGUAAAAAUAACAGUAUGAUGGCUACUUCACAUGUUUUACGCAAAAGUGAAUAAAUAUUGAGACCUUAAUUAUAAUGAAUAGUAUUAUAAGUGAGGAACUGUUGAGCUGCUGUAAGAGUUCACAUCUUUUUUUUCUCAGAUCGGAUUUUCUUAUUUCCCUCUCAGUGCCUCAUGUCAUACUUUUAUUUCACAUUGCCAUUGUGUAACAUAACCAUGGUGUAAUAUUCAUUCUGUAAUCUGUAGUUAAUUUUACUGGUGUAAACUACUGUGAAUAAAGUCUAUGUCUGCACAUUUCUUUAAGUUUUCUCAUCCAUGAUGCUGUCAGGCUAUUUACACCACUUUAAACAUGCAACCACAAACCUCAAUGAAUUUCAUUUGAGGGUUUAUGUGAUAAAUGAACACAAAGUAUAAGAAAAACGACUCACAGCCUUUACUGUUUUUACAUGGAAAGAUCUGAAAAGUGUGGCAUGCAUUUAUUGGAACUUGCAAUUGUAAGUCUUUGUUUAUGUCUUUGCUUACGUUGCCUUUUUUGCUGAUUGAUUUUUUUUAUUUCUUCAUUCCUCUUUGGACAAACAGCUCAAGCCGAGCCGAAUCGAGAGGAGAUAACUGCAAACCAAAACAUUUAAGUCUUUCCCCAGGCUCAAAGUUAGAUUUAGGUCUGAACUUUGACUGGACCGAUAAAGCAAAACGGUCCAGUUUUAAAGCAUGUCAUGAACUCUCUUUGAUCAAAUCUAUUUUAUUGUAGCUCUUACAUGUUUGGAGAUAUUGUCCUGCUUUCGCAAGUAUUUUUUAGAUAAAAAAGGAACUGAAACCUUUCAGUGACUUAUAUAGAACAUGCCUUUUUCUUCUCGAGAGAAAGACCUCCCCCUCUUUCAUAAAUACAGGCAGUCCAGGAUUUGGCAGCUUGUUGCUCUAUUAGUUCUCUUCCUAGUAAUACGGCUUCAGAAGACAAAACAAAAUUCCUUAAGAGAUGAUUAAGAUCAUUGCGGUGCAUUAGAUCCACAUGCUGCAUGUCUACAUUUUAAACUGGAAUUACUUUUUGGAGAAUUAAUUUGACUUUUUUUUACUACUUUCCAAUAGUUUUACCAAGACAGGAAAAUGGCUUUGACCUUUUUUGUAAUUUUCUGGAUUCUUCUACGAAGCACCAGCUGCCAGUUUCAGUGUGUCCCCGAAACUCUUGAUGACUUGGAUUUUUACAUUAAUGUAACAGAGCACAUUACAGUGAGGUCCACCAACUGUAUUCAGAUCCCACAUGAAGUGACUUUUCCACGAGACAAAGUGACAGUCCCGUACAAGAAGAUGUUGUUUAAAGGAGAUCCUUCAAAUGUUGUUGAUACAAAAGUUGUCGAUAACGUGAAUGAUGACGCAAAGAAUACUUUCUCAAUAAUUACGCUUCCACCUGGAGAACACAAGUACGGCGUCAAACUUGAAUGGGGAUGCAAUCAGACGUAUGUUUUCCCUAAAAGGAUUCACAUUUCCGCGUUAACAACUAACGCUGGCUUCUUUGAUGGAGGAAAGACAGCAGACGCGACUGACCUGCGUGGCUCCUACGCCAUGCACUGGUGAAGUGUUUUUCUUAUGGAAAUGGACAAAUGCUGAUGGACAAUCUAGAAUGAUGGGCAGUGACCUCGACGAUUACGAUUACAUACGGUGGCAUGUAAGAUUUGGAUCUAGACGUAGAGACAGAUAUGGUAUGAAAUACAGAGGUAAAAAUUAUUUACCUUUUUUUCCAACGGCGGAUCAUCACAACACCAACAUCACAUGCAUAGCAACAUACGAUCACAAUGAUGCUGAGACAACUGUCACCUUGACUGUGAAAUUCUCACCCAGAAUCCUGAACAGCUCUCAUUGCACAGUUAAAGGGGAGCUGCUGCUCUGUGUGUGCAUCAGCUGGGGCAAUCCUCUGCCACCGAUCUUGUGGCCUUCGGAAACCCUCACAGAUUACUCGGUGACCAGUUUUAGCAAUGCUCAGAGAGUAAGCAGCACCCUCACCAUGCCUGCAGCUAAAUAUCACAAUGCCACCGUUAAUUGCAUGAGCAGAAAUGAACUCGGUCAGGCAGAAAGUGCGAUCCUGAUUCAAAACUCCACAGAGCACGACGGGGUGAACUCUCUUCCAGAAUCAAGCGAAGGGUUUUGCUCAGCUCUUCCCUGGCUAACAGGACUGUGUUUCACUCUGAACCUUGUUUUUGUGGCUGUCUUCAUCUGUAUUUACCUACGGAGCAGAAAACAGCAGAAGGAAUCGCGUGAAGAAGCAGACACCUACGUGACUUUGAGAAAAGCAGAUAUGGAUGAAGCGUACAGCACUAUUUCCCCACAAAGGAAAUAGAUGAAGUAUGCAAGUCACAAUUUUAGCCCUGUGAAUAGCAGGAAGUAACGUGUCAUGUUUUGUUUUUAAAGUACAUACCAUGUAUUUAAAAAAUGCUGUUUAAAUUAUGCGUUUUAGUGACCUACCGCCCAAUAUGCCUCAUUUUGCCAAAUAUGUUUAUGAUAGCCUUAAAUAUGAGGUGAGAAGCUCUUUAUGGGAACCCCGAAAAGAGCUGCUACUAAUUCAUGUAAAAAGGAGGAAGAGGAACUUUGUCAGGCAUCUGAUAAGGAUGUUUGAAUCACACUGAGCGUUUACUGAUUGGUUGUUUCUAGUUAGCCCUGGGAGCAACGGGAGAAGUCAGAAGAGCUCAACUUUUUUUCACAGUCUGUCUCAUACUAUACUGUCACGACAUAGUGAUAGUUUCAAGAAAUAUAGAGAAACAUGUUUUUUUAAAAGUCACAUAUCUGAACCUUUAACGCUUGGCCAUCUUGCUUCAUUGCUUUCUGUAAUACUCUGUGAUUACCAAAUUUAAAUGUCAAGAUGAAACACAACUUUGGGACUUAAGAUGAUAAAAUUAAUCAGAUAUUCAUGACAACGCACCCUAAUUUGGUUAAAGACUCUUUUCUUUGGUCAGGACUUCCCAUAAUCUGCACUGUACUCCAUGUGAAUCUGGUGUGAAUAAAGUUGUGUCAGCACA